UUAAUCUCAAACUUCAGAGUUUUCUUUGAAGUCUUGGAUGUGGGGGUUAUGCUGGCAACAUACUUUGUUGGCUCCUUUUAAAUGCAUUUGCAGGAAAAACCAUUCAAGGAUGACUUGGCUCUGGUUUGAUAUGCCAUUGCUAAGAAGUCAGAAAGGAUUUAUUCCAGCUUUCAAUCUGUCUCGUGAAUGAGACACUCUUUGAA
rnacentral:misc_RNA from 1 species